GAAAUUCUGGAUAUUGCCAUGACGACCCACCGAUGUGAUGCGGGUGUGACAGUUGUCAGGAAAUGACAACCACAGGAAACAACUGGAAUGUUGUCAAUGAGAGUGAUAACCAGUGAUGUCUGCUUCAGAAAAUCUCUUCUGUGUUGUCUGUGACUGUCCUUGCUCCGGGCGGCAUAUCCUAGGACUGAAGGAUUCGACAACAGUCUAUGCAUUUAGUGACUAACAGACAUUGACCUUUUUUUUGGUCCAAAGUGAGGCUCUGACAAUUGCGGCCAAUGUGAUAUACAAGAAUGGUAUGCUAGAAGACUUCUUGAUGGUUGAUUGGAGGAAUUCUGGGAGCAUUUGAGAGACAAAUUGUGCAAUAUACUUUUGAAUAUUCUGUGUGAAUCUAUAUCUACGUUAUCAAUUGAAUUGUACAUGUUUUCUGUUUCUUCCACAGCUGUACAUGUAUGUGCUUGUCAUUGCUUACUUCCACUGCGUCCAAUUUAAAUCCAGCCAUUUGCUUGAUGGUUUAUUCAGCUAUUUACAGGGUAGUGUUAUGAUGACAGAUUAUUUAUAUAAAAAUGUUGUAACUUU
rnacentral:misc_RNA from 1 species